rnacentral:lncRNA from 1 species
AAAAGGGACAAGUGGAAUGCUUACAUAGUUUUUAUUUUUUUAUACAUGGAAGUUUUUCUUUUUUUUUAUACAUGGAAGCUCCAUGGACCAGAAUAAUAUUGUGGGUAACACAGUAAGGAGCAGCCCUCCCCUUUGAAUAAUAUUCACCAAAUUGGUGAUAACUUUUAUGGUGAAGAUGACUCGAACUCGAGAUUUCUUACUCUCUACAUCUUCUACAAGAGGUAGGAAGACCAACCAGACCAC